rnacentral:rRNA from 1 species
UACAGAGGUCUCAAGCGUUUGUUCGGAUUCAUUGGGCGUAAAGGGUGCGUAGGUGGCGCGCUAAGUCAGGUGUGAAAUUUCGGAGCUUAACUCCGAAACUGCAUUUGAUACUGGUGUGCUUGAGGACUGGAGAGGAGACUGGAAUUCAUGGUGUAGCAGUGAAAUGCGUAGAGAUCAUGAGGAAGACCAGUGGCGAAGGCGGGUCUCUGGACAGUUCCUGACACUGAGACACGAAGGCCAGGGGAGCAAACGGG